CAGUGCGAUAAUUACGACACUAAUGAAACGGAUCCAAUAGAACUCCUCAUUUAAGCGUGUUUGGACGAUAACAGUACUAGGACGGGUUACCUCCUAGGAAGUCCUCGUGUUGCACCAC
rnacentral:rRNA from 1 species